GAAGAAAGAUCGUUUUUAGAAAAGAAAGAACG
rnacentral:sRNA from 1 species